CGGGGAUGCCGACCCCCUCUACUUCUACCCCAAAGGUCUGGAACCUCUAGUUUUGUAUUUUUUUUUGUGGUGAUUGUUCCUUCGUUCUCUUGUACUUGAAGUUUAUUUGAUCAAUGAAGCCGGAUUUGUCUUUACGGAGGAUCCCCCCCUCUCUUUUUUUUUGUAUCCUUUUCCUUCUUUUUAUCUUCUGGCAUUAAUUUGAGUCAUGGUGCUCUUGUCCUCCAACGAUAGUGUCC
rnacentral:lncRNA from 1 species